rnacentral:rRNA from 1 species
GGUCCAAGACUCCUUACGGAGGCAGCAGUGGGAAUAUGCACAAUGGGCAAGGCUGAUGCAGGCAUGCGCGUGUGGUGAAAGAAGCUCGGGUUGUAAGCACUUCAGUCGUGAGAAUGGUGGGUAACGUUAAUAGCGGCAAUCGAUUUGACGUAGCGACAGAGAAGCACCGGGCUAACUCCGUGCCAGCAGCCGCGGUAAUACGGAGGGUGGCGAGCGUUAAUCGGGAAUUACUGGGCGUAAAGCGCAUGCAGGUGGUUUGUUAAGUCAGAUGUGAAAGCCCGGGGCUCAACCUCGGAAUAGCAUUUGAAACUGGCAGACUAGAGUACUGUAGAGGGGGGUAGAAUUUCAGGUGUAGCGGUGAAAUGCGUAGAGAUCUGAAGGAAUACCGGUGGCGAAGGCGGCCCCCUGGACAGAUACUGACACUCAGAUGCGAAAGCGUGGGGAGCAAACAGGAUUAGAUACCCUGGUAGUCCACGCCGUAAACGAUGUCUACUUGGAGGUUGUGGCCUUGAGCCGUGGCUUUCGGAGCUAACGCGUUAAGUAGACCGCCUGGGGAGUACGGUCGCAAGAUUAAAACUCAAAUGAAUUGACGGGGGCCCGCACAAGCGGUGGAGCAUGUGGUUUAAUUCGAUGCAACGCGAAGAACCUUACCUACUCUUGACAUCCAGAGAACUUUCCAGAGAUGGAUUGGUGCCUUCGGGAACUCUGAGACAGGUGCUGCAUGGCUGUCGUCAGCUCGUGUUGUGAAAUGUUGGGUUAAGUCCCGCAACGAGCGCAACCCUUAUCCUUGUUUGCCAGCGAGUAAUGUCGGGAACUCCAGGGAGACUGCCGGUGAUAAACCGGAGGAAGGUGGGGACGACGUCAAGUCAUCAUGGCCCUUACGAGUAGGGCUACACACGUGCUACAAUGGCGCAUACAGAGGGCGGCCAACUUGCGAAAGUGAGCGAAUCCCAAAAAGUGCGUCGUAGUCCGGAUUGGAGUCUGCAACUCGACUCCAUGAAGUCGGAAUCGCUAGUAAUCGUGGAUCAGAAUGCCACGGUUAGAGUUUGACCGGGCCUCGGGCUAAGUGGUAACAACGUACACCAUGCUAUAGUUUGAUCCUGGCUCAGGAUAAGUCGUAACAAGGUAACCUGCUAGAGUGUG